AACACGCAGUAACAAAGCAACAAAUUGAAACUAAAUACUUUCAGUGCGAGGCCAUGGAAAUGGAGAUCGAGCCGCAGGAUGAGAUACAGAUUCGGUUCCAGCAGCAUCGGACUGCGGGUCCAGGAGCUCUAGCUUAGAGAUAUGGUUGUUGUCGAGCGCUGUUCGUUCCAUUUAUUUAACCAGAAAUUGUUGCAAUCAGUGCGGAGUAGCUUUUAAUUGCCUCCCAGGAGAAAGGGAGGAGUACUCUUUGGUGGGCAGGGGAGCUGACCAGCUUUAGGAUAGCGAUAAAGCGAUGUCCAAAUGCCAAAGAUUCCAGCCGAAGACGUUCCAUCGGAGACAAGAAGACGACUUUGGUCUCAUGCGGAAAUCGCCAACUUGCAGGCAACUGGUGGACGUAUCGCCAGCAUCCCCAGAUCUCCUCUUUUUCCAUGGAGACAGAGAGGAAAUGCCUUAAAUCAAUUAGUUGAGCACUAAUUGCCCCAAUACCUUGUGGCAUAGUUCGCCAUUUGCUCAGCACCUGUUCGAAGUCCCUGCCCGCUCUUUUCGCCCCUCCUUAAUCUCAGCAGAGGAAUUCCUGCGGCCUUCUCAUUGUUUUCGUGCUACACAGAGAGAAAUGUAAAGUAAGAAACCAUCAGAAGUAAUGUAAACAGGUUCGGGAUUCGUGCCAUAUCUAUAUAUGUUAUUUUAAUGGAAUGAUAAAGUAUUCUAAGUUAUAACCCCCAUAUGUUUCUCUCAGUGCAUAGUUAUAUUCAUGUCCCGCUGUCUCUUGUUGUUGUUAUCUUUCUCACAAUCAAGGUGCACGGAGUAGAUGCCGCGCCAAGUUCAGGCUUCUUCGCGAACACAACAAGUGCAACAAAAAACUGUCUCAAGUGCUGCGGCAAAAAGGAAGUCGCGAGAUGGAUCGUAUUUAUAUAUACUGCAAACAUUUCGAUAUGCCUGGGUUUUGGUCAAGCCAAGAUCUUUUGUUGCUGCAGAUAUGUGAAACUUCCUGUAGUCAAGUGGUUGUGAGAUCAGUUGAGCUGAGCUGAGCUGAGAGGGUGUGUCUCCGGCGUAAGAGUUCCUUUCAUCUUCGGAUAAUUGGUGCUGCACCACGUCUCAUCGUCAAUUAUCUGGCGUCACCAAAGCCGCAACGAAAUCGAAAUGCCCGAGGGCAUCCUCUUCAUUUUCGGCAAGGGCAUCCUUAAAAACCAACAACAGGAACAACUCGGCCAACAAAAACAACGAGGACAGGCAAUGUGGAAAAAGAACAACAAACAAUAAGCCGAGGCAAAGUUAAACAAAGUUGGCGCACCAACUCACUCUCUUUUUCGGAUCUCGGAUCGGAUCGGAUCGACUGGGAUCGGGUGGGUUUGGAUGGGAUCGGAAUCGGGAUCGGGCACAAGGGUCAGGCUAAAGGGCCCAGGCAAACAAAGGAGUGCGUUCAUGUCGAUGAAGACGGCCACAAAAGCGCCCCGAUGAGAUGAUCGCUCCAGUCGGUGAUUCUCCUCCUUGGACUUCCUUGCCCCGACGCUCAGCGCGAACUUACACUGUGAAAAAAACGAUAUAAUAACGAAUGCAGGGUCUCGACCUGAAUGUGCUCGCAUCCGUUGACUGGGAAUCGUAGUGGGCACCCAGGCGCACCACCACCCCCCGCCACACUCCGCUACGGUCCUCACCUGACCUUGCUCCUUUGUUCGAGCCACAUAUUCAUGUACACAUGUGUGUUUGUGCAAACCUGACGCCCAUUCGCGCGCACCUUUGGAAUUCGGUGGCCGCGAACGCUGCAUAAUGGAAGCCAAAUGAUGGGAAACUUUUUUGUGGCCCCGAUCCGACAGACAGGCAACUGGGCGGGGAGGUCCAUUGGGUACGGAGGGGCGCAGAAAAACAAAACUAAUUAGGCAUAAAGUGCGUGUAAUUAUAAAAUAAAUUAAAGUCGAGCACUGACACUCCACAUUGCCCGGUGGAUCGAUUGACCUUUUUGUAACUCAAUUACGAUCUUCAGAUCGCCUUUGCCAACUUGACCACCCAGA